rnacentral:tRNA from 1 species
UGCUCUUUAGUACAACGUAGUAUAGCUGACUUCCAAUCAGCAGGUUUAGUAUUAUCUAAAAGAGUAA